rnacentral:rRNA from 1 species
GACGAACGCUGGCGGCGUGCUUAACACAUGCAAGUCGAACGGAAAGGCCCUGCUUUUGUGGGGUGCUCGAGUGGCGAACGGGUGAGUAACACGUGAGUAACCUGCCCUUGACUUUGGGAUAACUUCAGGAAACUGGGGCUAAUACCGGAUAGGAGCUCCUGCUGCAUGGUGGGGGUUGGAAAGUUUCGGCGGUUGGGGAUGGACUCGCGGCUUAUCAGCUGGUUGGUGGGGUAGUGGCUUACCAAGGCUUUGACGGGUAGCCGGCCUGAGAGGGUGACCGGCCACAUUGGGACUGAGAGACGGCCCAGACUCCUACGGGAGGCAGCAGUGGGGAAUAUUGCACAAUGGGCGGAAGCCUGAUGCAGCAACGCCGCGUGCGGGAUGACGGCCUUCGGGUUGUAAACCGCUUUCGCCUGUGGCGAAGCGUGAGUGACGGUAAUGGGUAAAGAAGCACCGGCUAACUACGUG